ACUUUUAUACGUUUCUGUGCUUGAGAAGGGUUAAUCCUGGAAGAUUCACCACAUCAGACUGAGUUCUGUUAUAGCUGCAUGAGGGUUUCUGUUGCUCGUUGGUAUUGCUGAAAACUCAUUUACUUGGAGGAACCCCAGCAAAUUGUUGGGUAGUGUAAAUGUUUUUUUUUCAUCUCCAGCAAUCAAGACUGUAUAUGAUCUUUGUCUUUGCAAUUAUUUUUUUUCACAAAAUAACUCUUUUUUUCCAUGCUACUAGCUGACAAACUAUUUAUCUGAAGAGUCUGAAUGAGCCACUUUUAGCUAUGGGAGUCAAAAAUGAUAACCCAUUCAUAAAUCUAAUCAUAUUCUGGGUAGUUCGCCUAACUUUCUUGAGGAAAAGAAGAAAAAAACUAUUUGCGAAGAUCCCAUGGCCUCUGUGUACUAGUAUUUGUUACAUGUAUUUUCUCUACCCUGUCAGGUGUGUAUACAGGUCCCUUGUCAUUUGAGGAAGGCUGAACGGAACUGACUCUUAUUCGAGCCACAAAUAAUGCUGCUUAAAUAGUUGCUGUUUGAGACUUGGUUAGGAAACUUACUGUUUUUCUGCCCAGGUUAAACUUUUUUGGCAUCACCAGAGCUGUCAAAAGGUGUGAUGAUUUGUAUUAAAAAAAAAAGUGUGGGGAAAGUAAUAAGACCACAUUUUUGUGGAAAUCACCACAGUCUUGUGCAUUACCAGAGAGGCUCACUGUAAUACCUGCUUUAAAAUUAAUCCCAAAUUAUUUUUUUCUGUGAGAGCUGCCACAUCUGUAGCUCUGGGAAUGAGAGUCAGGGAAGUAGAAUCCAGUCCGUCAUUCCAAGUCAUUGCAAGGUGGUGUCAGUGAAGCCUUAAAGCUAUACCAGGCUUGCUAAAUGUAUGCUGGGAGCAGGAUGGUUCCAAGCCUGUGCCUUUUUUUUUUUUUAAUUCUUUUUUCUUAGGGAAAUGUUGACUGUGUGAAUGUGGGGGGAAAUACAAAGAGAAAAAUGUCAUUCAGUUAUACUAGUUUCUGUUCAAUCUCCUGUUUUACUCCCAGCCCUGCCUUUCCUUCUUAGUUGGAAGCUGGUGGGGAGUUUCUGUGUUCACAUGUGUGAGGCAGAGCAGCACCUGGGAAACCAGAUGUGUUCAGAAAAUGUGCCAAGAUACUUUUUUACCAAAAGGACUCUUUAUUCUAUUUUUUCAUAAAGAGCAUGUACAGAAGUAGAGGCAAUUGAGAGGUGAGCCAGAAGUGUAGGCCUGGCUUGCACUUAAAAGUUUUGCUGGCAUAGUUGUGUCGCUUAAAUGUAUUUUAAAGGAAUAAAUCUGUGUUUCAUGUAACCUGACAGUCCUUUCCUAGUAUGCCUUAUUAUUUUCAGGAAAUUGAUGUUAGUUGCAUCUUCCCUAGGGAACAGAAAGGAUUUUCAUGUAUCUAUUCUUGCAAGCCUUUAUGGCUCAUAUCUGACUGUAAUAGCAAAAGAUGAUUGAAUAUUUAAUAGGUAAAAGAGACUCACUAAACUUUCUGAAGCAAGGGAAAGAUUUUUUUUUUUUUUUUUUUAAAUUU